rnacentral:rRNA from 1 species
UACGGAGGGGACUAGCGUUGUUCGGAAUUACUGGGCGUAAAGCGCACGUAGGCGGUUUUGUAAGUCAGGGGUGAAAUCCCGAGGCUCAACCUCGGAACUGCCUUUGAUACUGCAAAUCUCGAGUCCGGAAGAGGUGAGUGGAAUUCCUAGUGUAGAGGUGAAAUUCGUAGAUAUUAGGAAGAACACCAGUGGCGAAGGCGGCUCACUGGUCCGGUACUGACGCUGAGGUGCGAAAGCGUGGGGAGCAAACAGG